GAUGAACGCUGGCGGCGUACCUAAUACAUGCAAGUCGAGCGAACAGACGAUGAGCUUGCUCCUCUGACGUUAGCGGCGGACGGGUGUAUAACACGUGUAUACCCUACCUAUAAGUCUGAUAUAACUUCGGGAAACCGGCUCAAAUACCGUAUAAUAUAUUGAUCCACGUGGUUCAAUAGUGAAAUACGGCUUUGCUGUCACUUCUCGAUGGAUCCGCGCCGCAUUAGCUAGUUGUUAAGGUAAAGGCUUACCAAGGCAAGGAUGCGUAGCCGACCUGAGAGGGUGAUCGGCGACACUGGAACUGAGACACGGUCCAGAGUCCUACGAGAGGCAGCAGUAGGGAAUCUUACGCAAUGGGCGAAAGCCUGACGGAGCAACGCCGCGUGAGUGAUGACGGUCUUCGGAGCGUAAAACUCUGUUAUUAGGGAAGAACAAAUGUGUAAGUAACUAUGCACGGCUUGACGGUACCUAAUCAGAAAGCCACGGCUAACUACGUG
rnacentral:rRNA from 1 species